CAGUAGCCGCGGUAAUACGAAGGGUGCAAGCGUUACUCGGAAUUACUGGGCGUAAAGCGUGCGUAGGUGGUGGUUUAAGUCCGUUGUGAAAGCCCUGGGCUCAACCUGGGAAUUGCAGUGGAUACUGGGUCACUAGAGUGUGGUAGAGGAUAGUGGAAUUUCCGGUGUAGCAGUGAAAUGCGUAGAGAUCGGAAGGAACAUCUGUGGCGAAGGCGACUAUCUGGGCCAACACUGACACUGAGGCACGAAAGCGUGGGGAGCAAACAGGAUUAGAGACCCCCGUAGUCCCUGUCUCUUAUAC
rnacentral:rRNA from 1 species